rnacentral:lncRNA from 1 species
CUAGAACUCUAUCUAAUUAGGGGAACAGUCACUUCAAAGGUCCCAGCCCAAAUGUGGCAGAAGGUGAGUGAGUGCUGGGUCAGAGUGGACAAGGAAGAGUCCCAGCUGGCUCCAGCGAGCCUCCCUCCCCCUUCCCUGUCAGGGGCGCCUCCAGGUACAGAGAAAGCCAGACUAACCACUACUAGUCUGGGCGAGCUGUCAGCCAUCUGGGUCAAAUGAUGAACUGUGAGAUGAACAAGACUUGGAACCAAGUUCUUUCUUCAAGGUGUCCAGAAGAUCCCACCUCAGCCCUGCAGGGCAAUGUGUGGAUACCGGAGGAGUGAACACUAGGUUAGGCAGGUUCCUGGCUACUUACACACAUACAUACACAUUAGCUUACAAAAAGAGAUUGGACUUCAGAGAUGACAACUGACAUGGCUAAAGUAACAUUGGAACUAUGAGGAAGAGCUUGGAUUCAAUGCAAAUCUGUUACCACAGGGCUAACUAAGUAAGCAGGGAGUGGCCUAGCCACUCUCUGGAUGUCUAAAACUAUCUCUGAGCACACUUGGGUUGGGAAGAAGGGAAGCAUCGACCACGGGCAGCCUCCUCUCACGGACAGUGCCACCGAGACCUUCUGUCAGCAGCCUCAUGCUUGGCUAGGGCUGCACGGGAGACGUGAACAGCACCAGGAGAGCCCUCCAUCCCCACAAGAUUGAGAAACCGAGGCACAGCAUUGUGCAACUCUUCUGUGCCACUUGGAUUGGAAGCUGAAUCCAGAGAGAGGGGCAGAGAUGGCUUUCAACACUGGGACAGGCAAGAGAGACGACAAGAUGAAGCUUAGAUGCCUCUGAGGUUCUAGGCACCAGCAUGAUGUUCAGGGUCGCUUGGGAAGUGUGGAUCUGGCUCUCGGGGCCCAUCACGGGGGCCUUGAAACAGUCACAUAGUACUUAGAGCAUGAAGCAGCUACCAUAAAAUAUCUUUUCACUC